GUCAUUAGGUGCAAUGAUUCUGAGCGUAAUUGCAGUAACGGUUUCUCACAAGUGCUUACAACAUAACACAGAUAGAGCAGGGGACGCAGACAUGGCAGAUGGAGUGCCAGUGACCGCAAUGCACCAGACGGACUCGAACCACGAGCCUCUUUAUGCGAAUUCCAUCAUGUCCACACCUGGUGUUGGUGGAGAUUCCGCUGUUUCCCGAAGUGA